rnacentral:lncRNA from 1 species
GCCUAGUCCCCCUCUGGUCUAAGGCCCUGAAGGUUGUCAGUCCCCAUCCCCUUUAGGGGAUGGGUUCCCCUUCUUGUUCUUCUUCUUCCCCUAAAGGGGAACUAAAGGGGAACCCCUACGUCUUCCCCGAAGGGGAACCCCUUCUUCCCCUUUAGGGGACUCCGUCCCCUUUAGUUCCCCGUAGGGGAUGAAGAAGGGUAACACCCCUUCGUCUCCGUCCCCUUUAGGGGAAGAAGGGAACACCCCUUUGGUUCAUCCCCUUUAGUUCCCCUUUGGGGAAGAACUAAAGGGGUGAAAACGAAGGGGAAGAGCACUAAAGUGUUCUUCUUCCCCUAAAGGGGAACUAAAGGGGAACCCCUUUAGUUCCCCUUUAGGGGAUGAACUCCCCUACGGUUCCCCUUUAGGGGAUGAACUCCCCUACGGUUCCCCUUUAGGGGAUGAAGAAGGGUAAGACGAAGGGGUUCCCCUUCGGGGAUGAACCGAAGGGUUUCAUCUUCUUUAGUUCCCCUUUAGGGGAUGAACAAAGAAGAUGAAAAACCCUACUUGACGAAGUUUGUUGUCAUCCCCCUUUGGUUCCCCUUUAGGGGAUGAACUAAAGGGGGAUGCCUCAAACUUCGGUUUCCCCUUCGGUUCUCAUCCCCUAAAGGGGAACCAAAGGGUUGUCCCCUUUGUUCUACAUCCCCUAAAGUUCAUCCCCGAAGGGGAACCCCUUCGUCUUCUUCCCCGAAGGGGAAGAAGAACUAAAGGGGAUGGUAUUCCCCUUCGGGGAGCCAAAAAGGGGGGGGGGCGGAAACCAGAGGGGACAAGGGAUGAGCCGAAGGGGGAGAACCAAAGAAGAUGAACCGAAGGGUGUUCAUCCCCUAAAGGGGAACUAAAGGGGAAGACAAGGAAAGCCUUACGGCUAAUUCCAUUGUAAUUUAAUGUAAUCUUAUUACAAUCGCCUUACGGCUAAUUAUAUUCCAAUAUAGCUUGUGAGGACCCGUCAGGAUGGUGCAGGUUGAUGCUUACUAAAGCAUAGCUCCUACGCAGCAAGAGCUGGUAGCAGCAAAGUAAAUCUUUAAUGUUAACAGCUUGUUUCUGCUUCUCGUAGAGAACUCCCAAAAAUCAGAAAAAUUUUUAAAAAAUAAAAAGAGUUAAAGAUAUAGUCCAAAUUGGGGAUUGGUUAUUAAUAUUAGAAAACUAUUGAUCUACCUUUUAUCUUGUUUAAAGAAGCAGCAGAGUAUACUUUUUAAUGGGGGUGUAACGCAUUCUUAAACAGUUUAUUCAAUCGUUUUAAAACAUAAUAACAUAAGACCUUCCCCAGNACCACAUCCACGCUUUCACGAUUCACGUAACUGUGCUAAUUCUUCUGAAAGGNNN